UUCCGGUUGAUCCUGCGGACCCCACUGCUAUCGGGGUGGGACUAAGCCAUGCAAGUCGAAGGUCCCCAGCUCCGGGGGCCUGGCAGACAGCUCAGUAACACGUGGCCAACCUACCCUAGGGAGGGGGAUAACCCCGGGAAACUGGGGUUAAACCCCCAUAGGCGAUGGGUUCUGGAAGGACCCAUCGCUGAAAGUGGUGCAUGGGGAUGCUCCAUGCACCAGCCCUAGGAUGGGGCUGCGGCCCAUCAUGGUUGUUGGUGGGGUAACGGCCCACCAAGCCUAUAACGGGUACGGGCCCUGGGAGGGGGAGCCCGGAGAUGGGCUCUGAGACAAGAGCCCAGGCCCUACGGGGCGCAGCAGGCGCGAAACCUCCCCAAUGCCCGAAAGGGUGAGGGGGUCACCCCGAGUGCCACCCUCGUGGUGGCUUUUGCCGGGUCUAAAAAGCCCGGCGAAUAAGGGGAGGGCAAGACGGGUGUCAGCCGCCGCGGUAAUACCCGCUCCCCGAGUGGUGGGGACUAUUACUGGGCUUAAAGCGCCCGUAGCCGGCCGGGUGUGUCCUCCGUUAAAUCCACGGGCCUAACCCGUGGGCUGCGGAGGAUACUACCCGGCUUGGGGGUGGGAGAGGGCGGCGGUAUUCCCGGGGUAGGGGUAAAAUCCUCUGAUCCCGGGAGGACCACCAGUGGCGAAGGCGGCCGCCCAGAACACGCCCGACGGUGAGGGGCGAAAGCUGGGGGAGCAAACGGGAUUAGAUACCCCGGUAGUCCCAGCCGUAAACGAUGCGGGCUAGGUGUCGGGUGGGCUACGGGCUCACCCGGUGCCGAAGGGAAACCAUUAAGCCCGCCGCCUGGGGAGUACGGCCGCAAGGCUGAAACUUAAAGGAAUUGGCGGGGGAGCACCACAAGGGGUGGACGUUUCCGCUUAAUUUGGAUCAACGCCGGAAAU
rnacentral:rRNA from 1 species